GACGAACGCUGGCGGCGUGCCUAAUACAUGCAAGUCGAGCGGACGAAUCGAAAGCUUGCUUUUGAUUCGUUAGCGGCGGACGGGUGAGUAACACGUGGGCAACCUGCCCUGUAGACGGGGAUAACACCGAGAAAUCGGUGCUAAUACCGGAUAACACGAAAUGUCGCAUGACGUUUCGUUGAAAGACGGCGCAAGCUGCCGCUACAGGAUGGGCCCGCGGCGCAUUAGCGAGUUGGUGAGGUAACGGCUCACCAAGGCGACGAUACGUAGCCGACCUGAGAGGGUGAUCGGCCACACUGGGACUGAGACACGGCCCAGACUCCUACGGGAGGCAGCAGUAGGGAAUCUUCCGCAAUGGACGAAAGUCUGACGGAGCAACGCCGCGUGAGCGAAGAAGGCCUUCGGGUCGUAAAGCUCUGUUGUUAGGGAAGAACAAGUAACGCAGUAACUGGCGUUACCGUGACGGUACCUAACGAGAAAGCCACGGCUAACUACGUG
rnacentral:rRNA from 1 species